UACGUAGGUGGCAAGCGUUGUCCGGAAUUACUGGGUGUAAAGGGUGCGUAGGCGGACUGUCAAGUCAGCGGUAAAAUACGGGGGCUCAACCCCGCUCCGCCGUUGAAACUGUGUCCCUUGAGUGCGCGAAGGGUAGGCGGAAUGCGUGGUGUAGCGGUGAAAUGCAUAGAUAUCACGCAGAACUCCGAUCGCGAAGGCAGCCUACCGGCGCGCAACUGACGCUCAUGCACGAAAGCGUGGGUAUCGAACAGG
rnacentral:rRNA from 1 species